rnacentral:tRNA from 5 species
GGGGGUAUAGCUCAAUUGGUUGAGCGUUUGUUUUGCAAAUAAAAGGUUAUUGGUUCGAGUCCAAUUAUCUCCA